rnacentral:rRNA from 1 species
UACGUAGGUGGCAAGCGUUGUCCGGAUUUAUUGGGUUUAAAGGGUGCGUAGGUGGGAUAAUAAGUCAGAGGUGAAAGCUAGCAGCUUAACUGUUAAAUUGCCUUUGAUACUGUUAUUCUUGAGUAUAGUUGGCGUUGGCGGAAUGUGACAUGUAGCGGUGAAAUGCGUAGAUAUGUCACAGAACACCGAUCGCGAAGGCAGCUAACGAAACUAUCACUGACACUGAUGCACGAAAGCGUGGGGAGCAAACAGG